rnacentral:lncRNA from 1 species
CCUGCCUGCACCAACCGGCCCGAUGCACGUCAUGGCUCACCUCGGCAUCCUGAAGCUGCUGCUGAAGGUCGGAGACCUUCUUCGACCACUCCCGAUCGUCGUCGACCCCGGUGCAAAAAUUGGGUGAAGCCCAGCCCCAGAUACGGGUUCAUCUGUAGAACAGGGGACCUGGGGGUUGAGGCGGAAGAACUCCCGAAACCGCUGGAAGCGAAAGAGCCAGAAGACAUUUCAAAUAACUUCGAAUGAAGACUCUAAAGAUCUCGAAGAAAACAGAUGGGACAAAGGAUGAGAGGUCACAGGAGACUAACUCGGAGGAAUAUGACAGAAGAAAAUGGC